UCAGAGUGUUUGAUUCUGGCUCAGGAUGAACGCUGGCGGUCUGCUUAACACAUGCAAGUCGAACGGAAUCCUUCGGGAUUUAGUGGCGGACGGGUGAGUAACACGUGAGAAUCUGCACUCAGGAUGGGGACAACAGCGGGAAACUGCUGCUAAUACCCAAUGUGCCGAAAGGUAAAAGAUUUAUCGCCUGAGAAUGAGCUCGCGGCCGAUUAGUUAGUUGGUGGGGUAAUGGCCUACCAAGACGGCGAUCGGUAGCUGGUCUGAGAGGAUGAGCAGCCACACUGGGACUGAGACACGGCCCAGACUCCUACGGGAGGCAGCAGUGGGGAAUUUUCCGCAAUGGGCGCAAGCCUGACGGAGCAAGACCGCGUGGGGGAGGAAGGCUCUUGGGUUGUAAACCCCUUUUCUCAGGGAAGAAGUUCUGACGGUACCUGAGGAAUCAGCCUCGGCUAACUCCGUGCCAGCAGCCGCGGUAAUACGGAGGAGGCAAGCGUUAUCCGGAAUUAUUGGGCGUAAAGCGUCCGUAGGUGGUGGGGCAAGUCGGCGGUUAAAGACUGGGGCUUAACUCCAGAAAGGCCGUGGAAACUGCACCACUAGAGGGCAGUAGGGGUAGAGGGAAUUCCCGGUGUAGCGGUGAAAUGCGUAGAGAUCGGGAAGAACACCAGUGGCGAAAGCGCUCUACUGGACUGCAACUGACACUCAGGGACGAAAGCUAGGGGAGCGAAUGGGAUUAGAUACCCCAGUAGUCCUAGCCGUAAACGAUGAAGCUACGCGCGAG
rnacentral:rRNA from 1 species